rnacentral:rRNA from 1 species
UACGAAGGGGGCGAGCGUUGUUCGGAAUUACUGGGCGUAAAGGGCGCGUAGGCGGCGACUCAAGUUAGAUGUGAAAGUCCUGGGCUUAACCUGGGGACUGCAUUUGAUACUGGGUUGCUUGAAUUCGGGAGAGGAUAGCGGAAUUCCCAGUGUAGAGGUGAAAUUCGUAGAUAUUGGGAAGAACACCGGUGGCGAAGGCGGCUAUCUGGACCGACAUUGACGCUGAGGCGCGAAAGCGUGAGGAGCAAACAGG